GAUCCUGGCUCAGGACGAACGCUGGCGGCGUGCUUAACACAUGCAAGUCGAACGAGGAUAUACUGGAUGAGAGCUUCGGCAGGAUUCCGGAAUAUUCGAGUGGCGGACGGGUGAGUAACGCGUGAGCAACCUGUCCCAGACAGGGGGAUAACACUUGGAAACAGGUGCUAAUACCGCAUAAGACCACGUCCUCACAUGGGGAUGAGGUAAAAGGAGCAAUCCGGUUUGGGGUGGGCUCGCGUCCGAUUAGAUAGUUGGUGAGGUAACGGCCCACCAAGUCGACGAUCGGUAGCCGACCUGAGAGGGUGAUCGGCCACAUUGGAACUGAGAGACGGUCCAAACUCCUACGGGAGGCAGCAGUGGGGAAUAUUGGGCAAUGGGCGAAAGCCCUGACCCAGCAACGCCGCGUGAGUGAAGAAGGCUUUCGGGUUGUAAAGCUCUGUUAUAGGGGACGAAGGAAGUGACGGUACCCUAUAAGGAAGCCCCGGCUAACUACGUGCCAGCCGCUGC
rnacentral:rRNA from 1 species